AUUGAACGCUGGCGGCAUGCUUUACACAUGCAAGUCGGACGGCAGCACAGAGAAGCUUGCUUCUUGGGUGGCGAGUGGCGAACGGGUGAGUAAUAUAUCGGAACGUACCGAGUAAUGGGGGAUAACUAAUCGAAAGAUUAGCUAAUACCACAUAUUCUCUGAGGAGGAAAGCAGGGGACCUUCGGGCCUUGCGUUAUUCGAGCGGCCGAUAUCUGAUUAGCUAGUUGGUGGGGUAAAGGCCUACCAAGGCGACGAUCAGUAGCGGGUCUGAGAGGAUGAUCCGCCACACUGGGACUGAGACACGGCCCAGACUCCUACGGGAGGCAGCAGUGGGGAAUUUUGGACAAUGGGCGCAAGCCUGAUCCAGCCAUGCCGCGUGUCUGAAGAAGGCCUUCGGGUUGUAAAGGACUUUUGUCAGGGAAGAAAAGGCUGUUGCUAAUAUCGACAGCUGAUGACGGUACCUGAAGAAUAAGCACCGGCUAACUACGUGCCAGCAGCCGCGGUAAUACGUAGGGUGCGAGCGUUAAUCGGAAUUACUGGGCGUAAAGCGAGCGCAGACGGUUACUUAAGCAGGAUGUGAAAUCCCCGGGCUCAACCUGGGAACUGCGUUCUGAACUGGGUGACUAGAGUGUGUCAGAGGGAGGUAGAAUUCCACGUGUAGCAGUGAAAUGCGUAGAGAUGUGGAGGAAUACCGAUGGCGAAGGCAGCCUCCUGGGAUAACACUGACGUUCAUGCUCGAAAGCGUGGGUAGCAAACAGG
rnacentral:rRNA from 1 species